GAAGGUUGGAGUAUUUUGAAUUUUGCUGUCCAAUUUCUCAAUUUAUUUGAUUUGUCACAGUCAAUAACACUUCGACUUUCAAAUAUAAGCUAAUUUUUUAUUUUAAUAAAUUUAUAAUUAGAGAAUUAAAUGAAGUAUAUUAACUAUAUAUUUUAUAAAAAUAAAUGGCGUAUUUUAAUUUUGAAGUCAAAGUGCCGUUGGAGUCUCAAAUUAAAUAAACUAAAAAGUUGGAUAAUAAAAUUAAAAUUUUAAAAAAUUAAAUUGUCAAUUAAAAAUAGUUUAUAAUUCAGAUAAAGUUUGUAAUUAAGUAAUAGAAAAAAAAGAUAG
rnacentral:lncRNA from 1 species